UCCACGCUGUAAACGAUGGAUACUAGGUGUUGGCCCAUUUGGGGUCGGCGCCGCAGCUAACGCAUUAAGUAUCCCGCCUGGGGAGUACGACCGCAAGGUUGAAACUCAAAGGAAUUGACGGGGGCCCGCACAAGCGGUGGAGCAUGUGGUUUAAUUCGAUGCAACGUGAAGAACCUUACCUGGGCUUGAACCGCAGAUGAUAUCCCCUGAAAAGGGGCUUUCCUUCGGGACAU
rnacentral:rRNA from 1 species